rnacentral:rRNA from 1 species
GAUGAACGCUGGCGGCGUGCUUAACACAUGCAAGUCGAACGGUGAAGGCGGAGCUUGCCCUGCUGGAUCAGUGGCGCACGGGUGAGUAACACGUGAGCAAUCUGCCCCUGACUCUGGGAUAAGCGCUGGAAACGGCGUCUAAUACAGGAUACGAGCUGCGAAGGCAUCUUCAGCAGCUGGAAAGAACUUCGGUCAGGGAUGAGCUCGCGGCCUAUCAGCUUGUUGGUGAGGUAACGGCUCACCCAGGCGUCGACGGGUACCCGACCUGAGAGGGUGACCGGCCACACGGGGACUGAGACACGGACCAGACUCCUACGGGAGGCAGCAGUGGGGAAUAUUGCACAAUGGGCGAAAGCCUGAUGCGGCAGCGCCGCGAGAGGGAAGACGGCCUUCGGGUUGUAAACCUCUUUUAGCGGGGAAGAAGCGAAAGUGACGGUACCUGCAGAAAAAGCGCCGGCUAACUACGUG